CCCACGGGUGGCAGCAGUGGGGAAUAUUGGACAAUGGGGGCAACCCUGAUCCAGCCAUGCCGCGUGUGUGAAGAAGGCCCUCGGGUUGUAAAGCACUUUCAGUGAGGAAGAACGCCUGGUGGUUAAUACCCAUCAGGAAAGACAUCACUCACAGAAGAAGCACCGGCUAACUCCGUGCCAGCAGCCGCGGUAAUACGGAGGGUGCGAGCGUUAAUCGGAAUUACUGGGCGUAAAGCGCGCGUAGGUGGCUUGAUAAGCCGGUUGUGAAAGCCCCGGGCUCAACCUGGGAACGGCAUCCGGAACUGUCAAGCUAGAGUGCAGGAGAGGAAGGUAGAAUUCCCGGUGUAGCGGUGAAAUGCGUAGAGAUCGGGAGGAAUACCAGUGGCGAAGGCGGCCUUCUGGACUGACACUGACACUGAGGUGCGAAAGCGUGGGUAGCAAACAGGAUUAGAUACCCGAGUAGUC
rnacentral:rRNA from 1 species